rnacentral:ncRNA from 1 species
GUAUUCUUUCGCGCAUGAACCGCAUCCAGUCCGAACUCCGACGUCGCCGCUCGCCGCUCCCUUAGGGGCGCCGCUGGCUUCGUCACGGAUUCGCGCCGCACGACGGCGCAAGCAGUUCGAAUCAUGAAAGCCACGGCAUGCCGUGGCUUUUUU